rnacentral:rRNA from 1 species
CCUACGGGCGGCAGCAGUGGGGAAUAUUGCGCAAUGGGCGAAAGCCUGACGCAGCGACGCCGCGUGAGGGAUGAAGGUCUUCGGAUCGUAAACCUCUGUCAGCAGGGAAGAACGGUCACUGUGCUAAUCAGCAGUGAAUUGACGGUACCUGCAAAGGAAGCACCGGCUAACUCCGUGCCAGCAGCCGCGGUAAUACGGAGGGUGCGAGCGUUAAUCGGAAUUACUGGGCGUAAAGCGCUCGUAGGCGGUAUGUCAAGUCAAGGGUGAAAGCCCCGCGCUCAACGUGGGAACUGCCUUUGAAACUGGCAAACUGGAGUGUGUGAGAGGAUAGUGGAAUGCCAGGUGUAGGAGUGAAAUCCGUAGAUAUCUGGAGGAACAUCAGUGGCGAAGGCGACUAUCUGGCACAUAACUGACGCUGAGGAGCGAAAGCGUGGGUAGCAAACAGGAUUAGAUACCCCAGUAGUC